GUGGUUUGUCGCGUUGUUCGUGAAAUCUCACGGCUUAACUGUGAGCGUGCGGGCGAUACGGGCAGACUAGAGUACUGCAGGGGAGACUGGAAUUCCUGGUGUAGCGGUGGAAUGCGCAGAUAUCAGGAGGAACACCGGUGGCGAAGGCGGGUCUCUGGGCAGUAACUGACGCUGAGGAGCGAAAGCGUGGGGAGCGAACAGGAUUAGAUACCCUGGUAGUUCACGCCGUAAACGGUGGGUACUAGGUGUGGGUUUCCUUCCUUGGGAUCCGUGCCGUAGCUAACGCAUUAAGUACCCCGCCUGGGGAGUACGGCCGCAAGGCUAAAACUCAAAGGAAUUGGCGGGGGCCCGCACAAGCGGCGGAGCAUGUGGAUUAAUUCGAUGCAACGCGAAGAACCUUACCUGGGUUUGACAUGCACAGGACGCGUCUAGAGAUAGGCGUUCCCUUGUGGCCUGUGUGCAGGUGGUGCAUGGCUGUCGUCAGCUCGUGUCGUGAGAUGUUGGGUUAAGUCCCGCAACGAGCGCAACCCUUGUCUCAUGUUGCCAGCGGGUAAUGCCGGGGACUCGUGAGAGACUGCCGGGGUCAACUCGGAGGAAGGUGGGGAUGACGUCAAGUCAUCAUGCCCCUUAUGUCCAGGGCUUCGCACAUGCUACAAUGGCCGGUACAAAGGGCUGCGAUGCCGUAAGGUUAAGCGAAUCCUUUUAAAGCCGGUCUCAGUUCGGAUUGGGGUCUGCAACUCGACCCCAUGAAGUCGGAGUCGCU
rnacentral:rRNA from 1 species